rnacentral:tRNA from 1 species
GAGGAUAUAGCUCAGUGACAGAGUGCCUGCCUAGUAUGCAUGAGGUCCUGGGUUCAAUCCCCAGUAUCUCCA